rnacentral:rRNA from 1 species
UCGAGAAUAAUUCACAAUGGGGGCAACCCUGAUGGUGCAACGCCGCGUGGAGGAUGACGGUCUUCGGAUUGUAAACUCCUGUCAUCCGGGAGUAAGACCUGGCUGUGAAUAGCAGACAGGGUUGAUAGUACCGGAAGAGGAAGGGACGGCUAACUUCGUGCCAGCAGCCGCGGUAAUACGAAGGUCCCGAGCGUUGUUCGGAAUCACUGGGCGUAAAGGGAGCGUAGGCGGCGUGGUAAGUCAGAUGUGAAAUCCCGGGGCUCAACCCCGGAACUGCAUCCGAUACUGCCGUGCUAGAGGAUUGGAGAGGUAGCUGGAAUUCUUGGUGUAGCAGUGAAAUGCGUGGAUAUCAAGAGGAACACUCGUGGCGAAAGCGAGCUACUGGACAACUCCUGACGCUGAGGCUCGAAGGCCAGGGUAGCGAAAGGG